rnacentral:rRNA from 1 species
AACGAACGCUGGCGGCGUGGAUAAGACAUGCAAGUCGAGCGCUCAUUCGGUUGCAGCAAUGUAGCCGAGUGGGAGCGGCGCAAGGGUGCGUAACACGUGGGUAAUUUGCCAAAAAGUUUGGGAUAACUCGCUGAAAGGCGAGCUAAUACCGGAUGUGAUCAUCGGGCGGCAUCGUUUGAUGAUUAAAGUUGGGGACCGUAAGGCCUGACGCUUUUUGAUAAGCCCGCGGCCUAUCAGCUAGUUGGUGAGGUAACGGCUCACCAAGGCUAAGACGGGUAGCUGGUCUGAGAGGACGACCAGCCACACUGGAACUGAGACACGGUCCAGACACCUACGGGUGGCAGCAGUCGAGAAUUUUUCACAAUGGGCGAAAGCCUGAUGGAGCGACGCCGCGUGGGGGAUGAAUGGCUUCGGCCCGUAAACCCCUGUCAUUUGCGAACAAACCUCGCUAUUUAAAAGAUGGCGAGCUGAUUGUAGCGAAAGAGGAAGGGACGGCUAACUCUGUGC